rnacentral:rRNA from 1 species
GACGAACGCUGGCGGCGUGCCUAAUACAUGCAAGUCGAGCGGAUGACGGAGGAGCUUGCUCCUCCUGAUUCAGCGGCGGACGGGUGAGUAACACGUGGGCAACCUGCCCUGUAGAUUGGGAUAACUCCGGGAAACCGGGGCUAAUACCGAAUAAUCCUUCGGACCUCAUGGUCCGAUGUUGAAAGACGGCUCCGGCUGUCACUACAGGAUGGGCCCGCGGCGCAUUAGCUAGUUGGUGAGGUAACGGCUCACCAAGGCGACGAUGCGUAGCCGACCGGAGCGGGUGAUCGGCCACACUGGGACUGAGACACGGCCCAGACUCCUACGGGAGGCAGCAGUAGGGAAUCUUCCACAAUGGACGAAAGUCUGAUGGAGCAACGCCGCGUGAGUGAAGAAGGUUCUCGGAUCGUAAAACUCUGUUGUGAGGGAAGAACAAGUACCGGAGUAACUGCCGGUACCUUGACGGUACCUCAUUAGAAAGCCACGGCUAACUACGUGCCAGCCGCCGCCGUAA